rnacentral:lncRNA from 12 species
AUGGCUGACAAAGCCUCACAUAUUUACCUCUUGGCCCUUUACAGAACGUUUGUGGAUGUCUGGCCUAGGAUCCUGAGAUUCACGGAGAAUUCUUUGGGCCUGUGUCCUCAUUGUCCACCCUUGGCAGUCUCAGUGUCAUACCUGAGCAGGGGCUGUGUACCAAAAGCACUGGCUGUGGUACAGCAUUAAAAAUAAUGAAAGGGCAGGCCCUGGAAGGCCUCGCUGUGGAGGCUGCUGGGGAAGAGAAUCAAAAGAUGUUCACAGCUGGCUGCCUUGAGAAGGGUCUAGUGGAAGAUGCCAGGGGUCUGGGGUCAGCAAAAAUGGAUCCUUGUCAUGGCUGUUUCAUUAUCUUGCUGGGUGACCUCAGGUAAAUUACUUCACCUUCCUGGGCCACAUGUGCCUCAUCUGUGAAAUUCAGAGAGAGCCCCGUCCCCAGGAUAUCUCAUCAUGCAAUAAUAACGUCUGGUGACAUCACUGGCCUUUAAAUGAUAGGAGCAAAGCAGGAAAUUUGAGAGAAAAAUACGUCUGCAUUUC